CRGGAYGUCRAGAGGGUGAGAAUCCCGUACGUGACCGGCGGUCAACCCCAUGUGAGGCCCCUUCGACGAGUCGAGUUGUUUGGGAAUGCAGCUCURAAUGGGUGGUAAAUUUCAUCUAAAGCUAAAUACCGGCCAGAGACCGAUAGCGCACAAGUAGAGUGAUCGAAAGAUGAAAAGCACUUUGGAAAGAGAGUUAAACAGUACGUGAAAUUGUUGAAAGGGAAGCGCUUGCGACCAGACUUGCCCGCGGGUGAUYAACCGUCCUUCKGGGCGGUGCRCUGACCCGCGGCGCAGGCCARCAUCGGUUUCGGCGGCCAGAGAAACGGGACGGGAACGUGGCUCCCUCCGGGGAGUGUUACAGCCCGCCCCAGCAUGUGGCCCGCCGGGACCGAGGACCGCGCUCCGGCUAGGAUGCUGGCGUAAUGGUCGUCAGCGACCCGUCUUGAAACACGKACCMAGGAGUUGUCAAACRACGCGAGUCUUUGGGUGKCRAACCCACGGGCGCAAUGAAAGUGAACGGAGGUGGGAACCCCCUCGGGGGGCGCACCAUCNAACGAYCCUGAUGUCUUYCSGAUGGRUUUUKAGUACGAGCGUCSGUUGACUGACCCGAAAAGAUGGUGAACUAUGCGUGAAUAGGG
rnacentral:rRNA from 1 species